GUUCCCGCUUUGAAAGCGGCCAAAAUAUCGUCUGCCUUUGUUCACUGCCGGUACAUUAAUGUCAAACACAUGCCUAGGAACCUUUUCCAAGCAUUAGUUUCAGUCGUGUCCGACCAGAGACAACACCGCUUCCUUUUCCGGACCGUGAUAUUCAAGAUGAAAGCCACGUCGAAGUCCUGCGCACCAACUUGACUAAUUCAUUCAAUUCAAGAAAUACAAAUGAAUGCAGCAGCUUUUUACGCAAAGCUAGCACACCGGGCCAAACCACCUCCUGUUGAGAGUGCUCUCAGUGAGAGUGAGGGCAGCGAUGAGGAGUACAAUCCUAAUAAAGCAAGUGAAGGUGAUGAAAGCAGCAGCAAUGACUCCACAGUGGACAUUAGCAGCAGUGAGGAAGAUGAUGAUGAUCCGCCUCAUCCACCUCCAACCACCAGUGCUGCACCUGCAAGACUUGC